GCCAGUGUGGCACAGUGGUUUGAGCAUUGGACCAUGAUUCUGCAGACCAGGUUUUGAAUCCCAGCUCAGUCA